UUCAGAUUACCUCGCUAUCAGAUAUUUGUGGAAUAAAAUGGAUAGUUCGAGAUGAAGGCGACACAGUGACCGAAUUUGAUGAUGUUUCGCCAAAAGAUCGCAGCCUGUGCAUAUUGGCGGUAAAUUACGCGAUGUGCGUAAUAAAUAAAGUAUCAACAUUUCUCAUUGAUCUCGAUGGUAUCAAGGAAUGCGCAUCACACUUAACAGAGGAAGAUAUCACGAGCUUGUUUUACAAGCUAAUUGAUACACACCAAGUCAUAAGUAUUUCGCAGAAGCCGCUAAUCAAUGAUUUAUUUCACAACAUUUCUGUGGAAUAAUCUCUUUAUUACAAAUUCAAGGAUUUGACUCGAAACUUCUUGCACAUCCACGCGCAUUUAAACAAGAAGAAAGAAAUGAAAUAAAUAUACACAACAGAUGGAUGGGAAAAAGGCAUUUUCCACGUGAAUGUUGCUCAUACAUUUUUUUUUCUUCUCUUUCAUAGUUUAUUUUACAGUUAUAGUAUUCUCCUAAUUUUUUGUGCAAGAAUAUUGAUUGUUUUCCUCGCACCUUUCAUUGCUUCGAGUUUUUAUUUCACUUUACCUAACACACAAUAAUUCCUAACAUCACUGAAAUAUCAGUGUUUUAUUUUUGCAUUUUCAAUAGGUAAUAAGUAUGCACAAUAUUUCUCCUCAAAAAACCUCUUUUUAUUGCAAUUUUAAUAGCUAAACUCAAUCACACAAGAAUUUUUUUAUACCACACAUUGGUGCAAUUUUUAAAUAAAUAUUUUGUUAAUUCUACUACAAGAAAAGAAAAUACCAAUAUAGGUACCUAAUUAUUCAUAAUAUUCUGUCAUCUAAAUAAUAUUAACGAGUAUAUGUAUAUUGAAUUGGAAAAGAAGUAUAAUUAUGGCGGUUAACAUAAUUAAAUUUAAGCAUAAUUUAAUAAUAAUUACAAUACGAUCACAUUUAAGUUCUUAGAGGGAUAAAAAUUCCCUCAAAUUUUCACAAUCCUUUCGUCAAAAUUAAGUUUUUUAUUCAUUCAAAAAAUUCUUUUAUUCAGGAUGUUUUUUGUGUUUAGAAUUUAAUUUUUUUUCUCAAUAUUCAAUAAGUACAAAAUAUAAGAAAAAUGAUUAGAUUAUAAUUUUAUACUUGACGGAAAAUCAAAGGUACAAAUUAAGAUUUAUAUAGCUAGUUUUUAAGAUGUUCUAUGCAAUAAAUUAAAAUAAAAAUUUGAAAA